AAAGGAAGAUGUUUCAAAGCCUCGGACAGACAGACCUAACAGAGGACUGAGUGGAAGAGGAAAAUUGAGGAGGCCAUGGACUGAAUACGGACUGGAGAGCCAUAGAAGAUGAAGAAGUGUUUCUGCCAAGUUCCACACAUGGAAUCACCAGGAUUCUUUGUGGUCAAGCAAGACUGUUUCUGCUUCAAAUGGCGUUAUUCUUUGACGUCAGUCCACUUCCACCCAAUACCCUAUGCACCUAUUGAUGAUUAGCAGACCUCUGGAUGUAGGAUUGCACUCUCCUUACAUCCUAAAAUAUACGUGCCCUCCAGAUCCGGAUGUUGUGGUUUUCGACGAGCAAGAAGGGAAUAAACACCAUAGUGUGUUUAGGAACUUUGACGCUGUGUUUCAGCCAAGUUCCACACAGGUUCAAAUGUACCAGUCAAUUGUACAACCGAUGAUUAGUGAUAUCCUUGACGGAUAUUACUUCACAAUUAUAGCCUGUGGCCAAACUGGUUCAGGCAGUACUUUUACAAUGGAAGGGGAGAUACCAAAUGGACCUCUUCCUUGGGACGCUUGUCAAUGUGGACAGGGCUCCCGAAAAGUUUCAAAUGGAACUGAUCGACCUUCAGUGCAACAAUGACUUGAAAAAUAAAUGUAAUUGUGUUGUUGGUACCAGGUCUACAAUUUAUGUGACGUGUCAUUACGUUUUUUGUGGACAGAGCCGCGCAUGUACCUUUCAGGGAUUCAGGAUUAACUUACCUGUUAGAAAGUUCUUUUGGACGCCGGACAAAGACCUCCAUUAUUGCAACAAUAUCACCUACAGAAUGUAAUGUGGAUGCGACAUAUAGAACUUUGGAUGCUAUCACCAGAGCAAAGGACAAAUUCAGUCGUCGAGGAAUUAACUAGAAGCUUAAGAAGGAUCUUAUCAAGCAUGUAGCAGCACCAUCAUCAUAUUGAUCCAUGGUAUAUUGGCUGCACUAGGAUCUAGAGAAUGACUGUACCAAGAGUCAUCAGUGCCUGCUUUUUUCUACCCUUGGGGACUGUCACACAACAGACAGUGGGCUGAAACUCUUAGAGCACCACUACUUCGACAGAAAAGAAAGUUAUGAUAAUUGAGGAAUCUAGUGCAGAACAAUGUGGCUCCAUUUAUGACCAAAAUUUAGAUUUAUAGUUUUAUUAUAAAAAUAACCAUCUGCUGUAUAAGUGAAAGAAUGGCAUGGCUCAAAUUACGUUGUUAUAGUUAGUUAUAGUCAAGUUAGCUAUUGUGUUUUUACCUGCCUUAAAUUUUCUGUUUUAAGACUUUCAUAUGUUGCUUGGUACCACUGAAAAUGGAAAAACACAUUUCCAUUCUUCAUCAUCAAACUCUAAUGAUUUUGCUCAUCAUUUCUAAGAAUUGCUAUAUUUCAUUUUGCAAAAUACAUUAAGUCAAACUAGUAUCACCACAUUACAAGAUGUGUCUGAUCGUAACUGAAAGAAAUUCAAAAUAUGGGGUGGCAUCCAGUUUUGCCAAAAACUGAACAAAUGGUACUACACUUGAAGGAACACACACAAACUGGAUGGUACUAACCUUUGUUUCCUUAAAAAUGAAAUGUAGGCCAACAGGAGAAUAAAUAUAAAUAUACUUACAGC